AUUAUAUUUACAUGUUUAUUAUUUAGGGCUAGGGGCCUACUAGAAACCAUCAAAAGGCUUUUGAUUAAGACCCCUAGUUACAUUUUAAAUUACAAAAUAAGGAUCCUAUUUACAAACAAAACUAGGUGACAGUGCUUCAAGUGAGGUGCAAUAUGAUAAAGUAUUUACAUAUAGUGCUACAGUAAAUAAAAUGUUAUGAUCACAAAAGUGUAUUAUUAUUAAUUUAUAUAAAAAUUUGAUAUUGCAGAUGUUGUUUUGGUAGUAGUUUUUCAGUUAUUCAGUAUGUAGUAUUUUUUCGACUUUUUCUUGAAUAUAUAGUAAGAUGCUAUAUUUUUAAAGUUUGGGUCAAGAUUAUUCCAGAUAUCAACUCCCUUGUUAGAGAGUGAAUGUUUAACAUAGUUUGUUCUUUGAUAAGGCUUAUGAAGUUUCAUAGAAUUUCUUGUAUUAUGUCUAUGAACUUCACUAUUUGAAAUAUAGUAGUUCGCAAAAAAUUCAGGUAAGUUUUUUAAGUGAUGAUAUCUGAACAUGAACAAACUGGUAAGAUAAUCGUUUAGUUUGCAUAAGUUCAAUAUAUUUAGGUGCUGAAAUAUGUUUUCAGUAUGAUCUAAGUGAGAGCUAAAAGUCAUUAAACGUACAAUCUUCUUUUGAACAUUUAUAAGUUUUUGAAUUCGUUUUUUAUAUGUAUUUCCCCAGAGUAAGUUGCCAUAAAUAAGAUAUGGAUAGACCAAAGCAUAGUAGAUUAGUUUUAAUGUAUUUAGGUUUGUAUAGUGGCGCAGUUUUGCUAUUAUUCCAGAUGACUUCAUAACUUUUUUCGUUACCGCUUCUAUGUGAUCGUUCCAGGUUAAAUAUUCAUCAAUAACGACACCUAAGAAUGUAGUGCUUCUAACUUGUGAAACCGAUUGAUUAUUUACAGACAGGUGCAAUUCCUGUUUCUUUUUAUUUGGAGAUUUAAACACAAUUAACUUAGUUUUUGUUGUAUUGAUAGACAAUUUAUUUAAAUUUAGCCAUUCAGCAAUUUUAUUCAUUUCUACUUGAAGUGUUUCUUGAAGUAUUUUAAUGUUGGAAUGACUAUAAAGUACACUUGUAUCAUCGGCAAAUAGAAGAAUUGAAACAGUUUUAGUACAGUUUUGGAUAUCAUUUAUGUAUAAAAUAAAGAGUAGUGGUCCAAGUAUCGAACCCUGUGGCACACCUGUGAGUAUCGAUUUUUCUGUAGAUUGCACUGUGUUAUAUUUAACUAUUUGUUUCCUAUUUCUUAAAUAACUUUCAAACCAACAUUUUGCAAUGCCUCGGAUCCCAUAAUAUUCGAGUUUCCCAAUCAGAAUCCUGUGAUCGAUAGUGUCAAAAGCUUUUGACAAAUCAAGAAAAACACUAGCUGUGUAUUUUCCUUCAUCAAUAGCCCUUGUUACUUUAUCUAUAAGUUCAAUGAUAGCAUGUUCUGUUGACCUAUUUUUUCUGAAUCCAUAUUGAUGCUUGGAUAAAAUAUCAUUUUCUUCAACAAAAUCAAUCAGUCUUUUGUACAUUAAUUUCUCCAAUACCUUAGAAAAACAUGUGAGAACAGAUAUUGGUCUGUAAUUUUCAAAUUUGUUAUUUUCAUUAGCUUUGAAAAUAGGGGAUACUAAAGCUAUUUUCAUUUGGUCAGGUACAAUCCCCAUAAUAAAUGUCUGGUUGUAAAUAUGAGUUAAUGGUUUGGAUAUAUACUUGUAAAUAUUUUUUAAUAUUUUGGCACUGUAGCCAUCGAAUCCUGGACUUUUGUUUGGAUUUAGAUUUUUUAUCUCGUUUUCAACUUCAUGCUCUUCUAUAGGUCUUAAAAAUAUGGAAUUUAGGUUUUUGUUUGUAAGAUAUUGUUCAUAAGUGGAGUUUGAUCUGGUUUUUAUUUGUUUUGCAAGCUUGGGUCCUAGAUUCACAAAAUAAUCAUUGAAUUUAUUAGCAAUUUCAAUAGGGUUAGAAGUGGUACUUGAAGAAUUGCUCAAUAAAAAUUCCUUUGGUAAUUCCUUCUUUCGAGUAGGUUUAUUAAGUAAUUCAUUAAUUGUUUUCCAGAUCAUUUUUGUAUUUUGUUUAUGUUUAAUAAAUUGUUCCUCGUAAUACGUCUUUUUGGAUAUUUUUAUAACAUGAUUUAGUUUGUUUUUAUAUUUUUUAUAAACGUUUUCAUUUUUUUGGCUUGGAUGUAGUAAAUACUUUUUAUAAAGUUGAUUUUUUUUCCUGACAGAUUUUAGUAUGCAUUUAGUCAUCCAUGGACUUUUAACUUUGUUAACAGCUUUUUUAUUUGAUACUUUUUUGAGUGGAAAAUUUGAUUCAUAAUUUUCUGAAAAUAUUUCAGAAAAAUUUUUAAAACAUUGUAUGGGAUCACUUUCAAUUGUUACACUAUCCCAUGUUAAUUCCUUUAAUGAUUCUGUGAAUAGGCUUAUGUUAUUGUUGUUGAUCAUUCUUUUGUAAUAGCUACCACUGAUGUUAUCAUUGUUUGUAUUAUAAGGUGUAUUUGUAGUGCACAUAUGAACUACAGGUAAGUGAUCUGAAAUAUCACUAAAGAUUAUUCCAUUUAUGCUUGUGUCAACUUGUUGAAUAUUGUUUGUAAAAAUGUUAUCAAUAAGUGUGGAUGUGUGCGCAGUAACCCGUGUUGGUUUUGUGAUAAGUGGAUAAAAAGAAGAGGUAAAUAGUUGCUCUAUAAAUCUGUUUGAGUAAUCACAGGAUUCCGAUUUAAGUAAAUCGAUAUUAAAGUCACCAAUAAGAUAACAAAUUUUAUUUUCCUUGUCAAUAGUGUUCAAAAUGCCAUUCAUUGCUAUUUCAAAGGUAUCAAAUUUAUUAUUAGGUGGUCGAUAAAUAACACCAACAAUUAUAUUUUUACCAGUUGAUGCAAUUAUUUCAAUAAAAAUUGAUUCAAUUACAUCAUCAACAUUUGUACUUAAGUCAUUUCUCAACUUAUAAUUAAUUUCUUCAGUCACAUAUAUGCCAACCCCUCCUCCUUUUUUAUUUGAUCUGUUUACGCCAAUAUAUUUAUAACCUUCUAAUCCAAAAUUAUUUGCGUUAUCAUCAUUUAACCAAGUUUCAGUUAUUCCUAUUACUUUAAAUUUCUUAUUUAAUGUACUUGUUAAUUGCUUAAACAUAUCAAAUUUAUUCGAUAUACUCC